rnacentral:ncRNA from 1 species
GCCUCAUGCCUGAAAGGGCGACGUGGCAACACGGAGCGAGAAGUCAGCAGAGGCCAUAGUAGCCGCUUGGUCAGGGCGAAGGGC